UACGUAGGGCGCGAGCGUUGUCCGGAUUUAUUGGGCGUAAAGAGCUCGUAGGCGGCCUGUUGCGUCCGCUGUGAAAUCCCAGGGCUCAACCCUGGGCGUGCAGUGGAUACGGGCAGGCUGGAGGCAGGCAGGGGAGAACGGAAUUCCCGGUGUAGCGGUGAAAUGCGCAGAUAUCGGGAAGAACACCCGUGGCGAAGGCGGCUCUCUGGGACGGUACUGACGCUGAGACGCGAAAGCGUGGGGAGCGAACAGG
rnacentral:rRNA from 1 species